rnacentral:rRNA from 1 species
UACGUAGGGUGCGAGCGUUAAUCGGAAUUACUGGGCGUAAAGGGUGCGCAGGCGGUUAUGAAAGACAGGCGUGAAAUCCCCGGGCUUAACCUGGGAACUGCGUUUGUGACUACAUGACUCGAGUACGGCAGAGGGGGGUGGAAUUCCACGUGUAGCAGUGAAAUGCGUAGAGAUGUGGAGGAACACCGAUGGCGAAGGCAGCCCCCUGGGCCAGUACUGACGCUCAUGCACGAAAGCGUGGGGAGCGAACAG